CUGUCUCUCUGUGUCUCUCUUUCUCAUCUCUGCCUCUAUCUUUCUCUCAUUACUCUUCUCUUUCUCUCUAUCUCUUUCUGUCUCUCUCUGUUCUCUGUCUCUCUCUGUUUUCUGUCUCUGUUCUCCGUAUCUCUCUGUCCUCUCUCUGUCUCUCUCCUGGGCCUGGGCCCCUCCACCCCUUCACCCCACGUGCUGCUCAUCUCUGUCUCUCUUGUCCUUGCCCGGGCCCCGGCCUCUUCCCCAGCUCAGCCUGCAGGAGGCCCGUCUCCUGCACCCCUCUCCGUCCUCCAUCCUUUCUGGUCCCCCAUCUCCUCCACCUCUCUGCAUCCUCCAUCUGCUGGUCCUCCAGAGACCCCCUUUCAGUUCCUCGCCCCUGUUCCAGGAGUGAUAUGGUUUGGCUCUGGGUCCCCACCCAAAUCUCACGUUGAAUUGUAAUCCCCAUAAUCCCCACGUGUCAAUCUCGGGACCAGGUGGAGGUGACUGGAUCAUGCAGUCGGGUCCCCCAUGCUGUUCCCGUGACAACGAGUGAGUAUCCCCGUGGGGCCUUCUCCCUCCGCUCAGCACACAUUCUCUGUCCUGCCACCCUGUGAAGAGGUGUCUUCCGCCAUGAUUGUAGGUUUCCUGAGGCCUCCCCAGCCAUGCAGAACUGCGAGUCAAUUAAACCUCUUUCUUUAUAAAUUACCCAGUCUUGGGUUUUCUUGAUAGCAGCGUGAGAAUGGGCUCAUACAAGGUGUGUCCCAGGCUGGAGGUUGUCCAAGUCCCGGAGGCAUCCCUAGCACCAAGACUCCGGUCGUGAUCGCUGGCAGAGUCCCAUGGGGGUGGGGGACCGGGCCAUGGUGGAUGGUUCUGGAGCUGCCCGGCCUCCAGCAGGAAACCUUCCUCUUCUGCACUUGAGUGUCUGCAGGAACUCCCACGCCACUUCCCGAAAGGACGAACCUUCUCAAUGUGCUGCGCCUGCACCUGGUGAGCAGCUUUGGCAUUUCUCAGGCGCUCAUCUGUCGGUACAUCCACUGGGAUCCGGCACUGCUCCGGGCGUGGGGGAUGCAACUGAUGGGAUCAUACGCGUGCAUCUUAUUUGGAGGCCCUCCCAGGAGCCAGGCUGCUGAGACCACAGGAGGCAGACAGACAAACAGACAGGGAUCCCCGCCUUUGAGACAUUGACCUUCUCACAGGACCCAAGCGAGGCAGAAAACCAUGAGCCAUGACCAGGAAGACACAGCUGACACGGGCACGGUCGGCAGUUUCCACCCGGGCGGCUCCUCCCUGGG
rnacentral:lncRNA from 1 species